GACGUGUUUUGGGCGACGUCGACUGUUU
rnacentral:sRNA from 1 species